rnacentral:ncRNA from 1 species
GACGCGGCUAAAGCAUGCCUCCCCAAAGUGGGAACCGGUUUUGGGAUAAAGACAUACGUAAAAACAAAAGCUUAAAGCGUGUCGUUUGAAUAUGAUAAAGCGCGACGCGCUUUAGAGCGUGUCUCGAUCAGAUUGAAUCAGAUCGGCGCGUCUCAACUGUUUGUUUUGACGC